GAUGAACGCUGGCGGCGCGCCUAACACAUGCAAGUCGAACGAUUAGAGCACCUUCGGGUGUGUAUAAAGUGGCGAACGGCUGAGUAACACGUGGGCAACCUGCCCCUUUCAUUGGGAGAGCCACGGGAAACCGAGGAUAAUACCGAAUACUUCGAGACUUCCGCAUGGUAGACUCGAGAAAGCUCCGGCGGAGAGGGAUGGGCCCGCGGCCUGUUAGCUUGUUGGUGGGGUAACGGCCUACCAAGGCAAUGAUGGGUAGCUGGGUUGAGAGACCGACCAGCCAGAUUGGGACUGAGACACGGCCCAGACUCCUACGGGCGGCAGCAGUGGGGAAUCUUGCACAAUGGGCGAAAGCCUGAUGCAGCGACGCCGCGUGCGGGAUGAAGGCCUUCGGGUUGUAAACCGCUUUCAGCAGGGACGAGGCGAAAGUGACGGUACCUGCAGAAGAAGCCCCGGCUAACUACGUG
rnacentral:rRNA from 1 species